CCGUGCGGAAGGUCACGGCCAGACACACGCGGGCCUGUUUUGUGCCGUGGUUUCGGAUCUGCGAGCAGUGGCAGUUUCGUCCCGGGUUUUAUCAUUUCUCGCGUUUUUCGCUGCUGCAAGGUCAAACCGUGCAGCGUUGCGAAUUCUCCGGCUCCUGUCAAAGAAUUGCACGAUUCACUCCAAGUACCUCGUUGGCACAUGCGAAGAAGAGCGCGCACACCAGCAAAUGAACAGAAACAAAGAAGCCCGCUUAAGGCUCUGGCGGUUUGCGCAGAGAUUCCGAUCUUCAAGAAGGAAUGCAGCUCUCAACUCAUUUGCGGGUGAGUAUGAAAAGAAACGAAGGCGACGCCUUCACGGGCUACCGCGAAAAGCCAUUUGGGGAUGCUGCUGUCCCGGAAUGCUAAGUUCACCGCGCAAAAGCCGAACUGGGAAAAUAAAAAUGUAUAUAUUAGGUGUUGUUGGUUUCUACUUAAAGGCUAGCUCUCGCGCAAAAAUAAAGCGCAGUGAUGAUGGGGAAGACACGCGUAAGACGACACGAACAACCAGUCCUUGCCUUUUUGGUGUGUGUAAAUGGUGGUGCCUGCGAUCACGGUUGCCUGUAGUGUACUACACGCUCGGUUUGGUUUAAUUCGUCAAGUAAGAUUCGACAGCCUACGUUUCGCGCAGUGAUUUAACGGGACUCAUUUUUGCUGUUUCUUUUUGUUUUUGCGUUCCGUUUGUAUGGGAGGAUAAAUCGAGUCUCUGAUCAGAUUCGAAACUCCGCGGUAGAAACGCGCCCGCGAAAAUGACGCGUGCUUUUUUUUUUUUCUUUUUUGGCCUGAGCUCUAGGAUAAUGAUUGUAGUGUGGAAACAGGAAGCAGGAAAGAUCGACUGGCCCCACUGGAACUCUCUAAACCGACGUAGGACUAAGCAUUAUGUUAACACCUCAAUAGCGGUGAGUUCGAAUCGGGAAUUGAAUCUUUGAUGAAACCGCGUUAACAACCCGUUGAUGAUGCGGUUGCCGUUAGUCGCCUCAGCGCAAGAAUUCGAGCGUGCUAUUACAUACGGCUGAGUUCUUCAUCUGAGCUCCAGCAUGCGUCUUUCUCUGCCGCUUCUCUACUGCUUCGUAAUUCUUCACGGUUAUACCACCGAAUGUGAGUUUGUGGUAAGAUGACUUUCGAUGUGACGCCAUUAUAAAAACAUCCCUUUCGGAUGUUCAAGAUGAAUAGUUAGGGGGAACUACAAGCUUGUAAGCAAUUACCGUUUUAGUGUUCUCGAAGAUGCGGUCAGUUGUGAGGUAUGUGAAAGUUAAUUGCUAACAAGCAAGUUUAAUUUUGCUUAGUGGGUAUCUUUACAGAAAACUUGGUAUGGCACACUUUCUUUAAUGUAAAUUUCGUCACUACAUGAUUUCUGCUUGUUACUUUCGGGUCGCCGUGUUACUAUUAUUUCUACUCAAACACCAUACAUACGUCACACUUACUUGUUGAUAAAGUGGUUCGUAAUAUGUGUUGUGAUAUGUUGAAAGAAUAAACAGUGGUGUCAAACAAUAUUAACGAUACCACUAAGAAAACAUA